UAAUAAUUCCGCAAAUACCAAACAGUUAUAUUUUCGCAUAUCAAAUAGGAUCUAUAGGCCUAAUUGACAUCUAUAUAGCUAUACAUGUAUAAUUAUGUCCACUAUUUAAAGCUUAUUGCGACAGAAAUAUUUAAUUUGGCUUAGCAGUCACGAAAUCGACUGUUCUUCGUAUAUUCGCGAAAUUAAAGUGCUACUAUCUAUUUGAAAUAGUUAUUUGUGUUUGCACCACAAUAGCAAGUGGCUUUUGUAUGUUUGCCUUUGACGUACAGUUUAUGAGAUUUAUUUGAAAGUUGUUCACUCAUCCACACACGUACACUCGAACUAAUAUCGAUGAGAACAAAAUUUAGCAUUGAAAGAGCUACGUACAAUUCUUGGAUGUAAGUGGUUGAG